AGGACGAACGCUGGCGGCGUGCUUAACACAUGCAAGUCGAGCGGAAAGGCCUUUCGGGGUACUCGAGCGGCGAACGGGUGAGUAACACGUGAGUAAUCUGCCCAUCGCUUCAGGAUAGCCAUCGGAAACGGUGAUUAAUACUGGAUAUGACAUUCCUUCGCAUGUUGGGGUGUGGAAAGUUUUUUCGGCGGUGGAUGUGCUCGCGGCCUAUCAGCUUGUUGGUGGGGUAAUGGCCUACCAAGGCUUUGACGGGUAGCCGGCCUGAGAGGGUGACCGGCCACACUGGGACUGAGACACGGCCCAGACUCCUACGGGAGGCAGCAGUGGGGAAUAUUGGACAAUGGGCGGAAGCCUGAUCCAGCAACGCCGCGUGAGGAUGACGGCCUUCGGGUUCGUAAACCUCUUUCAGCACAGACGAAGUUUUGUCGUUUUUUGGUGUAAGUGACGGUAUGUAGCGAGAAGAAGGACCGGACCGAACUACCGU
rnacentral:rRNA from 1 species